AUUGAACGCUGGCGGCAGGCCUAACACAUGCAAGUCGAACGAGUGGCGGACGGGUGAGUAAUGUCUGGGAAACUGCCUGAUGGAGGGGGAUGACUACUGGAAACGGUAGCUAAUACCGCAUACCAUCGGAUGUGCCCAGAUGGGAUUAGCUAGUAGGUGGGGUAAAGGCUCACCUAGGCGACGAUCCCUAGCUGGUCUGAGAGGAUGACCAGCCACACGGGAACUGAGACACGGCCCAGAGUCCGACGGGAGGCAGCAGUGGGGAAUAUUGCGCAAGGGGCGAGAGCCUGAUGCAGCCAUGCCGCGGGUAUGAAGAAGGCCUUCGGGGUGUAAAGUACUUUCAGCGGGGAGGCGUUACCCGCAGAAGAAGCACCGGCUAACUCCGUGCCAGCAGCCGCGGUAAUAC
rnacentral:rRNA from 1 species